rnacentral:rRNA from 1 species
GACGGAAGGUGCAAGCGUUGCUCGGAAUCACUGGGCGUAAAGGGCGCGUAGGCGGCUCCAAAAGUCAGGGGUGAAAUCCGGCAGCUUAACUGUCGCAGUGCCUUUGAUACUGUGGAGCUAGAGGGAGGUAGGGGUCUGUGGAACUUCCGGUGGAGCGGUGAAAUGCGUUGAUAUCGGAAGGAACGCCGGUGGCGAAAGCGACGGACUGGAUCUCUUCUGACGCUGAGGCGCGAAAGCCAGGGGAGCAAACGGG